CAGCCGCGGUAAUACGAAGGGGGCUAGCGUUGUUCGGAAUGACUGGGCGUAAAGGGCGCGUAGGCGGCGAUUUUAGUCAGGCGUGAAAGCCCUGGGCUCAACCUAGGAACUGCGUUUGAUACUGGAUCGCUUGAGUGUGGGAGAGGAUGGUGGAAUUCCCAGUGUAGAGGUGAAAUUCGUAGAUAUUGGGAAGAACACCAGUGGCGAAGGCGACUCACUGGACAGGUAUUGACGCUGAGGUGCGAAAGCCAGGGGAGCAAA
rnacentral:rRNA from 1 species